rnacentral:rRNA from 1 species
UACGGAGGGGGCUAGCGUUGUUCGGAAUUACUGGGCGUAAAGCGCACGUAGGCGGCUUUGCAAGUUAGAGGUGAAAGCCCGGGGCUCAACUCCGGAAUUGCCUUUAAAACUGCAUCGCUAGAAUUGUGGAGAGGUAAGUGGAAUUCCGAGUGUAGAGGUGAAAUUCGUAGAUAUUCGGAAGAACACCAGUGGCGAAGGCGGAUCUCUGGGCCGUAACUGACGCUGAGGAGCGAAAGCAUGGGGAGCGAACAGG